CCCACCCGAGCUUUUUACCCCACACAAGUUUGCCGCAUUCGCUGCUGCCACAGCGGGGGCAGGCAGAACGAUUAGUGGCUGUGGACAGGAGCUGCUGCAGCUGAAGCUGGAGAGGCCAGAGAAAGGUAAAGCUGCUGAAGAAUAAAAUAAAGGGGAUCCAGCCGGCAGCUUCAGACAGGAGACAGCCUGCCUCUGCAGGUGAGGAAGGAUCCCUCUUGGCAUAGUCCUCAGCAGAUCCCAUCACCAACAUGCACGGCAGGGUGGAAGACAGUCAAAUGACCGGAGCUACAGAGGAGGAAGGGAGAAGGGGAGAGAGACAGACGUGUCUGAACUGUCCAAUUCUCCCAGCAGCUCUGAGAGCGGGAGCUGCAGUGAGUCCUGGACCCCUGGGGCUGUGUCACCCCUCUUCUGCAUCCUGGUCCCUCUGUGCCCCUGCCUUCUCUUUCUCUCACUGCUGUCUUUUUUUUUUUUUUUGCUUCCUGCACCUCUUCCUCUCUUGUUGUCCAAGUCCCCCUCUUUGUUGUUCUGCCUCUCUGUUUUCUUUUCCUCUCUGCACUUCUGUCCUGUCCCAUCCCUCUUUUUUUUUUUCAUUCUCUGUCUCUGCCCUACAGCCCAUCACUACUUUGUCUUUCUCCAUCUAUCUGUCUGUCUUCCUAUCCCAAUCUUGCUAAUUCCUCCCUGUCUGCCCUUUAGCCCUUCACAAUUCCCACUGCUCUCACCUGUCUGAUGCGGUGUCUCUAUUUUUAAAUUCCUCUUUCUCUGGCCUGUAUUCUUGAUACACUUUUACUUUCUCAGAUUCUCUUGUUCCAGGUCCCUGUCCCUAUGUUUUAACUUCUUCCCUCACUGUCCCAUAGCCCACUUUUGUCUUUAUCAUUCUCUCUCUGUCUGGCUCCCAGUCCCUAUUCUUUAUUUCCCCUCUCUCUCCCCUUUAGAUCAUCAGUGGUUUUGGUAUUUCUCAGACUUUCUUGUCCACUUCACUGGUCCCUUUUUUAAUUCCUCCUUCUGCCCUGUGGCCCAUCACUAAUCUUUGUUUUUCUCCAUCUCUCUGUCUGGCACCCUCUCCUGUUUUAUUAGUUCCUCCUCUCUGUCCUGUAGCCCAUGGCUAUUUCCCCCCCACACCCCCACCCUGCCUCUCUCUGUCUCCCUUUCCCUAUUUUUCAAUCCCCCCUCUCUGCCCUGUAGCCGAUCGCUGUUGUAGUGGGUUCGUGUGGCAAGCUGGGGCAGGGGAGCGGGCAGGGGCUGCAGGGGUGGGUUCUGUGAGGAGACACCAGGACUCGCCCCCGUGUUGGGCACAGCCAGUUCCAGCUCCAAGAUGGAUCUGCUACUGGUCAAAGCUGAGCCAACCAGCAACGCUGGUAGCCCCUCUGUGACAUUUAAGAACGGCUAAAAAAAUGCUGUGCAGAAGCUGGGAUAGAGAAAAUGGGAGUGUGAAACAGCCCUGCAGACACCAAGGUCAGUGAAGAAGGAGAGGGAGGAGGUGGUCCGGGAGCCAAAGCAGAGAUUCCCCUGCAGCCCAUGGGGAAGACCCUGGUGACACAGGCUGUCCCCCUGCAGCACAUGGAGGACCCCACGCCAGAGCAGGCGGAUGCACCCGAAGGAGGCCGUGACGCUGUGGAGAGGACCCCACACUGGAGCAGGUUUUCUGGCAGGACCUGCGGCCCCAUGGGAGUGACCCCACACUGGAACAGAAGAAGAGCGUGAAGGAGGAAGGAGCAGCAGAGACAACUUGUGAUGAACUGACUGCAACCCCCCCGCUCCCUCUCCCCCUGUGCUGCUCAGUGGGAAGAGGCAGAGAAGUCAGGAAUGAAGAUGAGCCCAGGAAAAAAAGAGGGGGGUGGGGGGAAGGUGUUUUUCAGAUUUGUUCCUAUUUCUCAUUAUCGUACUCUGAUUUUGAUUGACAAUAAAUUCAUUUCCCCAAGUCGA